GGCAAACAAACCUCCCAUAUCCCGGCAGCUGCCCAGCGCCGUCGCCGUCGCUGCUGCUGUUGUCGCCGCCGCCGCCGCCGCCGCCGCCGUUGUUGUGUCUGUCCCUCGUCCCUCGUCCCUCGUCCCCACUCGGCGACGGCACCAGCCACACACCGGGCGGUUCGGUCGGCAUUGCCAGGCCCACAGCGCGGGUGUAAAAAUAUAUUUAAUCUGAGGAACAGGGGUGCCAGAUAACAGGAGAGAGGCGACAUGCGAGUGGGAGACGGGGAGAGACUGGACCAGCUACGCGCACACAGAGCCGCACCUCAUCCGCAGCCAGGAUUGAACCCGGAUCCCCAGCACCGCAAGUGCUGCCAAACCGUCCCCUCCCCCCACCCUUCUUCAUACAUCUGAAGGGUCUCGACCUGAAACGUCUCCCAUUCCUCUCCAGAGAUGGUGCCUGUCCCAUGAGUUACUCCAGCAUUUUGUGUCUGCCUUCAAUUUAAAUCUGCAGUUCUUUCCUACAUCAUCUUUUAUAUGUUUAGUUUAAUGAUACAGCAUGGAAACAGGCUCUUUGGCCCACCCCGUUCAAAUUCCUGGGUGUGCAUAUUUCCGAAGAUCUUUCCUGGACCCAGCACACGGAUGCAAUUAUAAAGAAGGAACAUCAGCGCCCUGAGAAAGGUACGGAGAUUCGGUAUGUCAAAGAGGAUUUCUUGAACUGAUACAGGUACACAGUAGAGAACAUACUGACUGGUUGCAUCGUGGCCUGGUUCGGCAACUUGAGUGUCCAGGAGCGGAAAAGAUUGCAAAACGUUGUGAACACUGCCCGGUCCCUCAUCGACUCUGACCUCCCCACCAUCGAAGGGAUCUAUCAAAGUCGCUGCCUCAAAAAGGCAGCCAACAUCACUAAAGACCCACAUCAUCCUGGCCAUACACUCAUUUCACCAUUGCCAUCAGGAAGAAGGUACAGGAGCCUGAAAACUGUAACGUCCAUAGUUAUUAAACACGGCAACAAAUAAGCUCUGAACUACAA